rnacentral:rRNA from 1 species
AUUGAACGCUGGCGGCAUGCUUUACACAUGCAAGUCGAACGGUAACAGGCCGCAAGGUGCUGACGAGCGGCGAACGGGUGAGUAAUGCAUCGGAACGUGCCCAGUCGUGGGGGAUAACGCAGCGAAAGCUGCGCUAAUACCGCAUACGAUCUAUGGAUGAAAGCGGGGGACCGUAAGGCCUCGCGCGAUUGGAGCGGUCGAGGUCAGAUUAGGUAGUUGGUGGGGUAAAGGCUCACCAAGCCAACGAUCUGUAGCUGGUCUGAGAGGACGACCAGCCACACUGGGACUGAGACACGGCCCAGACUCCUACGGGAGGCAGCAGUGGGGAAUUUUGGACAAUGGGCGCAAGCCUGAUCCAGCAAUGCCGCGUGCAGGAAGAAGGCCUUCGGGUUGUAAACUGCUUUUGUACGGAACGAAACGGUCCUGGUUAAUACCUGGGGCUAAUGACGGUACCGUAAGAAUAAGCACCGGCUAACUACGUGCCAGCCGCCGCCGUAAUAC